UACGUAGGCAGCUAGCGUUGCUCGGAAUCACUGGGCGUAAAGGGUGCGUAGGCGGGUUAUUAAGUCAGAGGUGAAAUCCUGGAGCUCAACUCCAGAACUGCCUUUGAUACUGAUAGUCUUGAGUAUGGGAGAGGUGAGUGGAACUGCGAGUGUAGAGGUGAAAUUCGUAGAUAUUCGCAAGAACACCAGUGGCGAAGGCGGCUCACUGGCCCAUUACUGACGCUGAGGCACGAAAGCGUGGGGAGCAAACAGG
rnacentral:rRNA from 1 species